CUGCAAGUGGUUCUAAAAUUAAAAUAAACAAUAAUGGGGCCAGGGGACACCCUUGUCUAAUACUGUUUGUUAUCUGGAACCAGUCUGCAUGGAUUCCUGUCCCAAUGAAUCUUACCAUCGGGGUGUUAUUUAGUGAUAAAACUGCGUUAAAGAUCAGCUAUAAGAGUUUGUUCUAAAAAUUUCCAGCUGACCUUGUCAAAGGCUUUUUUGCCAUCUAAU